UUACGACCAUAUCAUGUUGAAACACCGUUUCUCGUUCGAUUACUGAAGUUAAGCAACGUCGAGUCAGUUCAGUACCUAGACGGGUGACCGCUUGGGAAUAACAGGUGCUGUAA